rnacentral:rRNA from 1 species
AGGACGAACGCUGGCGGCGUGCUUAACACAUGCAAGUCGAGCGGUAAGGCCCUUUCGGGGGUACACGAGCGGCGAACGGGUGAGUAACACGUGAGCAAUCUGCCCUUCACUUCGGGAUAAGCCUCGGAAACGGGGUCUAAUACCGGAUAUGACCGCGCUACGCAUGUGGUGUGGUGGAAAGUUCUGGCGGUGGAGGAUGAGCUCGCGGCCUAUCAGCUUGUUGGUGGGGUAAUGGCCUACCAAGGCUUCGACGGGUAGCCGGCCUGAGAGGGUGACCGGCCACACUGGGACUGAGACACGGCCCAGACUCCUACGGGAGGCAGCAGUGGGGAAUAUUGGACAAUGGGCGAAAGCCUGAUCCAGCAACGCCGCGUGAGGGAUGACGGCCUUCGGGUUGUAAACCUCUUCAGCGCCGACGAAGCGAGAGUGAGGUAGCGCAGAAGAAGCACCGGCCAACUACGUGCCAAGCAGCCGC